rnacentral:rRNA from 1 species
CCUACGGGAGGCAGCAGUGAGGAAUAUUGGUCAAUGGACGAGAGUCUGAACCAGCCAAGUAGCGUGAAGGAUGACUGCCCUAUGGGUUGUAAACUUCUUUUAUAAAGGAAUAAAACGAGGCACGUGUGCCUUUUUGCAUGUACUUUAUGAAUAAGGAUCGGCUAACUCCGUGCCAGCAGCCGCGGUAAUACGGAGGAUCCGAGCGUUAUCCGGAUUUAUUGGGUUUAAAGGGAGCGUAGAUGGGUUGUUAAGUCAGUUGUGAAAGUUUGCGGCUCAACCGUAAAAUUGCAAUUGAUACUGGCAGUCGUGAGUACAGUUGAGGUAGGCGGAAUUCGUGGUGUAGCGGUGAAAUGCUUAGAUAUCACGAAGAACCCCGAUUGCGAAGGCAGCUUACUAAACUGUGACUGACAUUGAUGCUCGAAAGUGUGGGUAUCAAACAGGAUGAGAUACCCCUGUAGUC